AGGCAGGUAGGACAGCACAAACCCUCCCCCGCCUGAGAAGGACACGCCCCCCUCAGGUGCAAUCACUUCCUCUUAACUGAGAGGUUACCUAUACCUCCUCCUCCUUUUGUUUCUUUUCAAUCCAGUUGUGACGUGUGCGUCCUGUGAGCUAAGUUUAGUCCUGAUCUUAUGUCAGUCAUUUUGUUCUCCCUCUCCAAAGCUAAAAGCAGCCACAAUAAGCCAAAAGAAACGAAAGGAGAAUAAAACCGCUCUGUGUUUUGAACCUGGACAGCAGCUUCCUGAAUUAAGACCAGAGAGCAAACGACAGCGUCAGGGUCUGCAGCGAAGGCCCACUGACCGGACAUUCAAACCAUCUGCGUGAAUGUAACAACUAGCAAUCAGUUCCUGGGCUAAUGAUGUGAUGAAUAUUCAGAUUACCUUCCUUUUGAUGAGGCUGAAGGAGCUGCUGAUGGGAGUCUGCUGCAGCAUCUGAUGAGGGGAACGAGAGGCUUUAAAAAGCCACUCUAGAAAAACCCUCCAAUCUCCUGCCUGCACUGUGAAUAUGAAGCUACUGUGCAGAGACAGUUAGCUUAGCAUAAAGACUGGAAACAAGGAGGGGGAAACUGCUCGUCUGGCUGUAAUGAAGGUGUUGUGGCCGGGACUCUGCCAUCUUGAUGUGCACGGUCAGUUACUGUAAUAUGAUUUUGUGUCCCCAGACAGGGUUUAAUAAAUGAAAGGACAUAACGCCGAUGAUACCCUGUUCCUGUCAGUGCAAGAUGACCUAAUUUGCUGAAAAACAGAGAAAGAGAACCAAGGAUACUGCUCCCUCUGAGAGUAUUUUAGUUUUAUUGAUUUCCUGAGAUGAGGAGAGAGGAAUAAAUGUCCCCUGGCAGUCCACCUCAAUGACAUACACAUGAUGCCAAAGGAAAGUGGCCUUCAGAGGGUAUAAGCUCACUAAAUGGUGGUUGUUCUAGCCAUAAUAGCCUCAGUGUAGCGACAAAUACCGACAGAAACAGAAGUUUAACCAUGGGCAUGAGUGUUAUUGGGUAUAAGAGUAUGUUUCGUUUGUGAUACUGCCUUCUGAUCGCUAACGUGGCCAAAUGUGAUCUUUCAUUAUUGCCCAGGUAGUUAAAAUAUCUUGGCCCAACAGUGGCUUAAAUUCAGCAACCUUCGUUUGGUUAAGUACACUACGCUG